rnacentral:lncRNA from 1 species
AGCAGUUAAAAAAGGCAGUUUUCAUGACAAGUUGGCCAUUAUGAGGAAAGUGGGCAGUUAUAGGACGAUUAAGCAGUUUUAGGGCGGUUGAUCACAAAGAGAUCGUCUGUGAAGUAUAAAAGGGAGAAGAAAACAUAGAGCAAAAGACCGAAUCCAAAACUCUCGAACAGAGAACAUGUAAUUUUAAUUUCCUUAGUUUUUAGACUUAAACACUUUUCUUUCAGUAACUCGUGUACUUGCGCCCCUUGGAGGCACGUUGUUUUUCAUUUCCAAUUGUAAAGUCAUCGCCAAUAAAAGAACACCCCUUUUUGGGACUUUGUCUCAAGAGGUUUCGUCCCUUA